GACGAACGCUGGCGGCGUGCUUAACACAUGCAAGUCGAACGAUGAAGCCGGAGCUUGCUCUGGUGAAUUAGUGGCGAACGGGUGAGUAACACGUGAGUAACCUGCCCUUGACUCUGGGAUAACUGCGGGAAACUGUAGCUAAUACCGGAUACGACCCUCGGAGGCAUCUCCUGGGGGUGGAAAGAAUUCCGGUCAAGGAUGGACUCGCGGCCUAUCAGCUAGGUGGUGAGGUAAAGGCUCACCAAGGCGACGACGGGUAGCCGGCCUGAGAGGGUGACCGGCCACACUGGGACUGAGACACGGCCCAGACUCCUACGGGAGGCAGCAGUGGGGAAUAUUGCACAAUGGGCGCAAGCCUGAUGCAGCAGCGCCGCGUGAGGGAUGACGGCCUUCGGGUUGUAAACCUCUUUUAGCAGGGAAGAAGCGAAAGUGACGGUACCUGCAGAAAAAGCACCGGCUAACUACGUGCCAGCCGCCGCGGUAA
rnacentral:rRNA from 1 species